rnacentral:lncRNA from 1 species
AGAUUUAACAAAAUCUCAUUUUUAAGACACUACAAUCUUAGCAAUAUUCUUCUUGCAACAAAUUCCUACAAAAGAAAAUCCAACGAGAAUUUUUAGAGUCUUAGAAACGGAGAGAUUUUUGCGAUUCUAAGGGAGUGCGAUGCAACCUUUUCCAAAAAUAUCAUAUGGAUUUUUGUCUACUACUCCAGGUAUGUUAAGGCUAAGCCUUUCCUUCAUUUUUUGUAUGAUCUCGUAAUUACACGAGUUUGAUAACGAUGCAUAAAGAAAAAUUCAUACCCCAAAAUUUACGUAUAUUUUCCUAGUUUUGUAAGUUACAAUAUUCUCAUUAUCGGGACUUCAUAUUUAAUUGAGUAUUUCUUUCUUCCAAUCAAGAGAGCAGAGCUAUAUAUACAGUAUUAUAGUAUUUUCAUUACCAUCAAGCUAUAAUCGAUGGGCAGGCCUCUAUUGGGCAACCUCUAAUAAGAUGGUAAGUUAUAUACCGAGCCUAUUGUGGUCGAGCGCCUAUGAGCGAGCCCAGUUGGUUGAGAUAUAAAGCCUAGUAUGGCUGAGCGCCUAUGAGUGAGCCUACUACGNNNNNNNNNNNNNNNNNNNNNNNNNAACUAUUUUACUUACUUUAUUGAGAGAGUUGAGUCAGUAUUAGCAGGUAAGCAUAUCUUCAAAUUAUCUUUGACUUUCAGCUACUUGCAAUUACUAUAUUAUCAGUUCAGUUUCAACUUUUAGUAUAUUGGCUUACAUACUUGGUAUAUUAUUUUGUACUGACGUCCCUUUUCUGGGGCUGCUGCAUUUCAUGCGUGCAGGUUCAGACAGAAAGACGGGUAGGCCUCCUCAUUAAGUGUUGCUCGAGUUCAGCUUGAUUAGUAAGCUCCAUGUCUUUCGGAGUUGCCGGGUCUAGAACCUUAUGUACAUCUUGUAUAUAUGUGUAUACAUGUUAUGAGUAGGUUGGAAAGCUAUUCUGAUCGCAGUAUAUCCAUCAGUAGAGACUUGUAGACAUAUCCUAUCAGUUAGUGCAAUAUGUUGGGCUUGUAGUCCUUGUAUGUAUAUUUCGUUGGUUUGUUAGCUGCAAUAAUUAUGACGGCCUUGUUGGCCCAGCUUUAUAUUGAUAUUUAGUCAACAAUCGCAGUUGUCUUGCAAUGUGGCCCAUGACAAAAGUAUGACAUCACAUAUUUAGAGUCUAUUAGUCGCAAGUUAGUAUGCAAGGAUAGGUGAGUCACCAGGUGCCGGUCUCGCCUCCGGGUUAGGGGCGGGACAAAAGUGGUAUCAGAGCAGUUCUGUCCUAGGAAGUCUACUAGCUG